rnacentral:rRNA from 1 species
GCAGCACGGAGCUUGCUCUGGUGGCGAGUGGCGAACGGGUGAGUAAUGCGUCGGAACGUAUCCAAUAAUGGGGGAUAACGCAGCGAAAGCUGUGCUAAUACCGCAUACGCCCUCCGGGGGAAAGCAGGGGAUCGUAAGACCUUGCGUUAAUGGAGCGGCCGACGUCUGAUUAGCUAGUUGGUAGGGUAAAGGCCUACCAAGGCGACGAUCAGUAGCUGGUCUGAGAGGAUGAUCAGCCACACUGGGACUGAGACACGGCCCAGACUCCUACGGGAGGCAGCAGUGGGGAAUUUUGGACAAUGGGCGCAAGCCUGAUCCAGCCAUUCCGCGUGAGUGAAGAAGGCCUUCGGGUUGUAAAGCUCUUUCAGGAGGGAAGAAACGAUUGUGGCUAAUACCCAUGAUUAAUGACGGUACCUUCAGAAGAAGCACCGGCUAACUACGUGCCAGCAGCCGCGGUAAUACGUAGGGUGCGAGCGUUAAUCGGAAUUACUGGGCGUAAAGCGUGCGCAGGCGGUUUUUCAAGUCUGAUGUGAAAUCCCCGGGCUUAACCUGGGAACUGCGUUGGAAACUGAAAGACUAGAGUGCGGCAGAGGGGGGUAGAAUUCCACGUGUAGCAGUGAAAUGCGUAGAUAUGUGGAGGAAUACCGAUGGCGAAGGCAGCCCCCUGGGUCGACACUGACGCUCAUGCACGAAAGCGUGGGUAGCAAACAGGAUUAGAUACCCUGGUAGUCCACGCCCUAAACGAUGUCAACUAGUUGUUGGGGAGGGAGACCUCCUUAGUAACGCAGCUAACGCGUGAAGUUGACCGCCUGGGGAGUACGGUCGCAAGAUUAAAACUCAAAGGAAUUGACGGGGGCCCGCACAAGCGGUGGNUUAUGUGGAUUAAUUCNAUGCAACGCGAAAAACCUUACCUACCCUUGACAUGUACGGAAC